AGAUUGAACGCUGGUCGGCAUGCUUUACACAUGCAAGUCGAACGGCGAGCACGGGGGCAACCCUGGUGGCGAGUGGCGGACGGGUGAGUAAUGCAUUCGGAACGUAUCCUUGAGUGGGGGAUAACGCUAGCGAAAGUUGUGUCUAAUACCGCAGUAAGCUCGUGAGGAGGAAAGCGGGGGACCGAAAGGCCUCGCGCUGAAGGAGCGGCCGAUGUCCGAUUAGCUAGUUGGUGAGGUUAAAGGCUUACCAAGGCGACGAUCGGUAGCUAGGUCUGAGUAGGAUGGAUCAGCCACACUGGGACUGAGACACGGCCCAGGACUCCUACGGGAGGCAGC
rnacentral:rRNA from 1 species